rnacentral:rRNA from 1 species
GACGAACGCUGGCGGCGUGCUUAACACAUGCAAGUCGAACGGAAAGGCCCUGCUUUUGUGGGGUGCUCGAGUGGCGAACGGGUGAGUAACACGUGAGUAACCUGCCCUUGACUUUGGGAUAACUUCAGGAAACUGGGGCUAAUACCGGAUAGGAGCUCCUGCUGCAUGGUGGGGGUUGGAAAGUUUCGGCGGUUGGGUAUGGACUCGCGGCUUAUCAGCUUGUUGGUGGGGUAGUGGCUUACCAAGGCUUUGACGGGUAGCCGGCCUGAGAGGGUGACCGGCCACAUUGGGACUGAGAUACGGCCCAGACGUCUACGGGAGGCAGCAGUGGGGAAUAUUGUACAAUGGGCGGAAGCCGGAUGCAGCAACGCCGCGUGCGGGAUGACCGCCUUCGGGUUGUAAACCGCUUUCGCCUGUGACGAAGCGGGAGUGACGGUAAUGGGUAAAGAAGCACCGGCUAACUACGUG